CCUACGGGUGGCUGCAGUAGGGAAUAUUGGACAAUGGGCGAAAGCCUGAUCCAGCCAUGCCGCGUGGUAGAUGAAGGCCCUCUGGGUUGUAAAUACCUUUUAUCUGGGAAGAAAUAUCUCGUUCUCGAGAAACUGACGGUACCAGAUGAAUAAGCACCGGCUAACUCCGUGCCAGCAGCCGCGGUACUACGGAGGGUGCACGGGUUUUCCGGGUUUACUGGGUGCAAAGGCGGGAUAGGAGGUCAGUGGUGAAAGCCCCGAGCUUAACUUGGGAAUUGCCAUUGAUACUGUUUUUCUUGAAUACGAUUGAGGUAAGCGGAAUGUUGCAUGUAGCGGUGAAAUGCUUAGAUAUGUUACAGAACACCAAUUGCGAAGGCAGCUUACUAAGUCGUCAUUGACGCUGAGGCACGAAAGCGUGGGGAGCAAACAGGAUUAGAUACCCCAGUAGUC
rnacentral:rRNA from 1 species